UACGGGGGGGGCAAGCGUUGUUCGGAAUUACUGGGCGUAAAGGGCUCGUAGGCGGCCAGCUAAGUCAGAGGUGAAAUCCCUCGGCUUAACCGGGGAACUGCGUCUGAUACUGGAUGGCUUGAGUUUGGGAGAGGGAUGCGGAAUUCCAGGUGUAGCGGUGAAAUGCGUAGAUAUCAGGAGGAACACCGGUGGCGAAGGCGGGUCUCUGGGCCGAUACUGACGCUGAGGAGCGAAAGCGUGGGGAGCGAACAGG
rnacentral:rRNA from 1 species